rnacentral:misc_RNA from 1 species
UUUUCCGGCCCAGUGUUUGAUGAUCGUACAGUUAAAGGACUAAAAUAUGCCUAUUUUAACUACAUUAUUACCUACAAUUGGAGAUGUUACAGAUGCAGGUAAUUCCAGUAAUAAUUCCCUACAGUUUACGUGUGCUCGUGUGGAACAACUGUUGUAUGGAUACAACCUUCUUCCAGGGAUUGGGAUAUUCACAAUUCUGAUUUUAAUAUUCCUCGAAAAAAGAACGUACAGGAAGGAGAUUUUAUGUGGAAGACCCGGACUUCCUAUGCCAUUUAAUAUUUUGGACGGCGAUAAAAAUGCACUUCCAACAGCCGCGUGCUUUGGAUGCUGCAUCAACUAUCUAUUUUAUAUUCUGUUCUUAAAUGACAAUUCAAAAGAAGUUGAACCAUGGCUAGCCACGUUUUAUUUACUGGAGUAUGUGAUUUUCAUGGGAAUCUCUUAUUAUCCUUUGUUUGCCUGCGUUAAUUCUAAAUCAAAGAUUGGUGCAUCCAUAAUUGGGUUUUUAUACACUUUUACAUUACUUUCUAUAUCGCUGCUGGAAUUCAAUUUUUGUGUUGAUGACGCUAUUAUUGGUCUUCCAACUGUAUCUGUGUAUUGCAGAUAAGAACAAAAAGUCAUCUCGUCUGGUUGCAAAGGCAUCGCAGUAUGCCCACGUACAAAAACUGCUAUCGAGAAGUUAUUCAGAUCUUGAACACACUGGAAUAAGGAGUACGCUGACUAGUAAAUCAUACCUGCUUCUCCAAGAAACAAAGUUGUGCUGUCUUAACAAGAGUAUGCAGCGCUGUACAAUGAGGACAGUGACUGUCAAUUUUGUUGUUCUACUAAGCUUUUAUCAAUUGUUCAUAGUGUUUGUGGAAUUAUCCAGGGGACUGUACAACUUGAAAAGAUUUGCUGGAGUAGGACUACAGACAUUGAAUAUUUCAUUUGAAACAUUUGACGUGUAUAUGGACGCAUUUUAUUAUAGUUUCAUCAUUGCGCAGGUGCUCUCUGCAAUCUACAUAAUUUCCAUGAUGAUACUGAUUUACAUGUCACAAAGAGAACAUCUUAUCCAGGCAUGGAGGGGUAACAAGUCAUUCAUCCCUAAGAAAUGCUUAGAUAUGGAGAGCGGCGAAAUGAUAACCAAGUCUCUGAUGUUCGCUGGAACCCAGGUCUCCCAUUUAUUAGGAAGCUAUUUGAUAUCCAUUCUGGUGAUAUUUUUGAUAUCAAUACUCUUGGCAUUCUUUCUUGUUCUUCCAUUGCUGAAGAAAGUUCCCGAAUUAUUUCUUCGUCCAGUAAAAUUCUUAAUACCUUCUAUGAUUGUGACAUACAUCUUCGUUUAUCUAUUAAAAAAAAUAUCGGAGAGACUCUUUCUUCAGAAGCAUUGGGUUACGUCGAAAAAAAGAAACGGAGUUGAAAGAAUGUUGGCUUUGAAUAAUAGGAAAGUGUACCACAAUUUUUCCUUCUUUUUGUUUUUCUUCUACAUUUUGAUUGGUCUUUUCAAAUGCAUCAAACGCGUUUUAUACUCCCUGGUGAUUGGACUAAUCUUUGUUCCAAGACUCGAUAGAAGUGUUCUCGUGUCAGGAUUUGAGCACUAUGAUAAUGCAUAUAUGAUAUAUAUUGGUCUGUUACACGUGGAACUGGCCCACUGUCAUCCUGUGCUGAGGGUAUUUUGUGAGGAGUUAUUGAAAAGUUCAAACACCCGUAAAGAACAAACAGACGUGCGUCUCCAUUCAGCACAGUCCAUUGGCACAUCUUCAGUGGUGGCUAAUUACCGGUCAACCAGGAGUAUCAGUGCCAAAGCUUACAGUGCACAUGUCAUCAAUAGGUGGAUGAAAACAAUUACGUUAUACAACAACCCGUCACUGUGUAAGACAUCAACAACAAACACAAAGUUCGAACAACCCGAAUAAGAAUCCCUUCUCAAGUGUGACGUACUAUGUGAACAAUUGUCAUUGAUAGAAGGACCGAGGACAAAUGUUGCUGACAGAACUUAACAUGUUCAUAUGUCUUCAUUUUGUGACUAUUUGUUUUUUUUAACAUGUAAAUAUACCAAUACAAAAGAAUGAAUGAAUGUUUUGCAUUUCACCAAAUGUUUUACAGAUAAAACGUUUUGAGAGUUUUGUAAUUAAUAUGCAAUAAUUUCAACUAGAUAUCAUUUUUGCAACCAACCUUCUUCUACAUUACAAUUCAAACACUUCUUUUUCUAUAUUUAUAAUUGAAAAAAAGCUUUGCACGGCUAUUUUUGUUCCAUUUUGUAAUUUUAUUUUAACUGUAUGUUUCCAAAGAGCCCUAUUCAUAGCUAUUCACAUAGAUAAUUUUUGAAGAUUAAAGCCUCUCUAUAAUACCAAUUAUAUUUUUUAACAAUAUAAAUAAAACUCUCACAUAAUUUAGUACCACUAUUAAUCCAAUUUGGUAAGCAAAUCUUUUUUUCUUUAUUACAUGUCUAUUAAAUAAUUUCACAAUCAUGAUUUUAUAGUCAUUAAAAACAAAACAUGUAUUGCUUCUUUUGGUAGUAUUUGAAAUUAAGGUCUUUGGUGUUUGUGAUACGUGUUUUUGAUUUAAUUAAUAAAUAAGAGAUUUAU